UACGGGGGGGGCAAGCGUUGUUCGGAAUUACUGGGCGUAAAGGGCUCGUAGGUGGUCAACUAAGUCGGACGUGAAAUCCCUCGGCGUAACCGGGGAACUGCGUCCGAUACUGGAUGACUUGAGUUCGGGAGAGGGAUGCGGAAUUCCAGGUGUAGCGGUGAAAUGCGUAGAUAUCUGGAGGAACACCGGUGGCGAAGGCGGCAUCCUGGACCGACACUGACGCUGAGGAGCGAAAGCCAGGGGAGCAAACGGG
rnacentral:rRNA from 1 species